CAACAAAGUGCAAUAAAUAUUGCCAUUGCUUUCACAUAUACAGGGAAAAAGGUUAUCAGUUCCUCCCAUGUUUGCUCCUACCACUUCAUCUGUGAACGACACCCCCUGACUACCGGAGACAGGAGGUCAGGUAAAUUUGUGUUAUGUUUGGAAUUUUCCACUACAUUUCAUCCUCACAGGUACAUGUGACUUGAACAAAAUUGAGCAGCUACAUAGGAUGGCUCAUUAUUAAGGACACAGAAAUCAGAAUCCAGUUUGAAUGUUGAAUUCAUCUUUUACUAUCUAAGGUCCUUUGAGCAAGUGAUCCAACUUUUCUUAGUGUCAGAGAUUUCUAUUUUUUAUAAUGAAAAUGAGACAAUGAAAUUUAAAGCACAAUGCUUUUGAGAAGGCU
rnacentral:lncRNA from 1 species